GACGAACGCUGGCGGCGUGCCUAAUACAUGCAAGUAGAACGCUGAAGAGAGGAGCUUGCUCUUCUUGGAUGAGUUGCGAACGGGUGAGUAACGCGUAGGUAACCUGCCUUGUAGCGGGGGAUAACUAUUGGAAACGAUAGCUAAUACCGCAUAACAAUGGAUGACACAUGUCAUUUAUUUGAAAGGGGCAAUUGCUCCACUACAAGAUGGACCUGCGUUGUAUUAGCUAGUAGGUGAGGUAAUGGCUCACCUAGGCGACGAUACAUAGCCGACCUGAGAGGGUGGUCGGCCACACUGGGAUUGCGACACGGCCCAGACUCCUACGGGAGGCAGCAGUAGGGAAUCUUCGGCAAUGGGGGCAACCCUGACCGAGCAACGCCGCGUGAGUGAAGAAGGUUUUCGGAUCGUAAAGCUCUGUUGUAAGUCAAGAACGGGUGUGAGAGUGGAAAGUUCACACUGUGACGGUAGCUUACCAGAAAGGGACGGCUAACUACGUG
rnacentral:rRNA from 1 species